AUUUGCCCUUCUAUAGCUGCCAUAACAGAAAGGAUAUUGUGAAGCCUCUUCAUUAGCAAGGUCUUUCCAACACCAGGGGCCCCAAGAAGGAGACACAUUGUGGAGGGGAUAGAGAGUGGGGUGAGCUCAGGGGCCCCUAGAAGCAGACACAGGGGUAGAGAUUGGGGUGAGCUCAGGGGCCCCUAGAAGCAGACAGGGGGAUGGGGUAGAGAUUGGGGUGAUCUCAGGGGCCCCUAGAAGAAGACACGGGGGGGGGUAGAGAUUGAGAUGAGCUCAGGGGCCCCUAGAAGCAGACACAGGAGGGGUAGAGAUUGGGGUGAGCUCAGGGGCCCCUAGAAGCAGACACAGGAGGGGUAGAGAUUGGGGUGAGCUCAGGGGCCCCUAGAAGCAGACACAGGAGAGGUAGAGAUUGGGGUGAGCUCAGGGGCCCCUAGAAGCAGACAGGGGGAUGGUAGAGAUUGGGGUGAGCUCAGGGGCCCCUAGAGGCAGACAGGGAUGGUAGAGAUUGGGGUGACUUAGAGCUAGAGGCAGGGGCCCCUAGAAGCAGACAGGGGAUGGUAGAGAUUGGGGUGAGCUCAGGGGCCCCUAGAAGCAGACACAGGAGGGGUAGAGAUUGGGGUGAGCUUAGGGGCCCCUAGAAGCAGACAGGGGGAUGGUAGAGAUUGGGGUGAGCUCAGGGGCCCCUAGAAGCAGACACAGGAGGGGUAGAGAUUGGGGUGAGCUUAGGGGCCCCUAGAGGCAGACAGGGGGGGAUGGUAGAGAUUGGGGUGAGCUCAGGAGCCCCUAGAGGGAGACAGGAGGAGGGGGGUAUAAUGUCCCACACAAUGAAGGUGGGGAGGGGAGGGUCCAGCUCCAAACGCUCUCUUUUCCGUCUCCUUG
rnacentral:lncRNA from 1 species